UGGGCUGACCAAUACUUGGAAUGGUGCUGGUUUGGAGCAUCUCAUGUGGGUGAGGGAGUGGGUGUAAAUUGAUUAUCAUAUGUGAUGGCAAUUCUAUCUUAUAUAGGAAUCCUUCUUUCAUGAGUAUUAGACUAAUUCAAAUCAGAUUUGAGUUAAGACUCCUAUACUUAUUGGGUCAUGAGAUUCAUCUAUAAAUUAAGAGGGUCUCU
rnacentral:lncRNA from 1 species